UCAGUGUCCUCUCCAUAGUCACUGAACACACAGGUUCUCACCAUGGAAUGGAGCUGGAUUAUUCUCUUCCUCCUGUCAGUAACUACAGGUGUCCACUCCCAGGUCCAGCUGCAGCAGUCUGGGGCUGAGCUGGUGAAACCUGGGUUCUCAGUGAGGUUGUCCUGCAAGGCUUCUGGCUAUACCUUCACUAGCUAUGGUAUACACUGGAUGAAGCAGAGGUCUGGACAGGGCCUGGAGUGGAUUGGAUAUGUUAAUACUGGAAAUGGUGGUACUGGCUACAAUCAGAAGUUCAAAGACAAGGCCAAACUCACUGCAGACAAAUCCUCCAGCACAGCCUACAUGGAUCUCAGCAACCUGACAUCUGAGGACUCUGGGGUCUAUUAUUGUGCAAGAGACACGGUGUUGCAACCCACAUCCUGA